GCCGUCCUUUUUCCCAGCCGCCGUGGUGCUGGCAAGUCUUGGCGCCGAGCCGCUGCUCUGCCGCAACGCACGCUCAUCCUCCCCCCACCCCGCCUUGGCGUCGCCGCCAUUGGCCCCGCACGCACCGCAGCCUCUGGCCGAGGCCACGGGAUGUUGGGAGCGGCUCGGAGCUGCCGGGCCUCCCGGCCUGCUGGGACUAAGGCCCGGAAGGCCGGGUCGGCCGCAUGCGCGGUGAGAAGGGCCGGAGCCCGGCGGGGCCGCACAUGCUCCCGCCCCGGCCCGCGUGUCCCUGCUCUGCGGGGCGACGGGCUGCCCCCAAGUGUCCUGGCAGCGUCUGUAACUGAAGAAUCCAAGGAUACCAAGGUGUUGCUGUCCUUUAGACAAGAUCUGUUCCCAGUAAAGUUGCCCUUGUCUGUGAUUAUGGAUCCAUAGUCGGGAGAGAAACACUAUGGGAUGAGGCAAGUUGAAAGACAACAGAUGAUUUUAGUGAAGAAUCACGACCUCUGUAUUUCUGUGAAUGCUGGCACAGGGCAUGUAAGUGACCAAUAAAAAAUUUGGAGUAUG